rnacentral:rRNA from 1 species
CCAGACUCCUACGGGAGGCAGCAGUGGGGAAUAUUGCACAAUGGGGGAAACCCUGAUGCAGCGACGCCGCGUGAGCGAAGAAGUAUUUCGGUAUGUAAAGCUCUAUCAGCAGGGAAGAAAGUGACAGUACCUGACUAAGAAGCCCCGGCUAACUACGUGCCAGCAGCCGCGGUAAUACGUAGGGGGCAAGCGUUAUCCGGAUUCACUGGGCGUAAAGGGAGCGCAGGCGGCGCGGCAAGUCUGAUGUGAAAGCCCGGGGCUCAACCCCGGGUCUGCAUUGGAAACUGUCGAGCUAGAGUGUCGGAGGGGUAAGCGGAAUUCCUAGUGUAGCGGUGAAAUGCGUAGAUAUUAGGAGGAACACCAGUGGCGAAGGCGGCCUGCUGGACGAUGACUGACGUUGAGGCUCGAAAGCGUGGGGAGCAAACAGGAUUAGAUACCCCUGUAUG